ACCCACCCCCUUUUUUCUUCCCUUUUAGAAAAUGUGAUACCUGAUCUCUGGGUCUAGCAGGGCUGAGGAUUUUUUUUUGUAUUUGUAUAACACAGUGUCUGGCCUUCCCCCUGACCUGCUGGUGUAUUUUUGGUCUCAUUAGUAGUCAGGCAGAAGCCUUAGUGCAUCCGGUGCUGGGAGUCAGGGAUGAGACACACGACAGCAGAGAGAAGGAGCGGGCGAGAGGGUAUUAGAAGAGAGGCUUGCCUCCAAGAUAUGGAAGGAAGUGAGAAAUGACAGGACGACGGCAAGCUUUGUAUGGAGGAGCCUGGCAGGGCGGGGGAGCCGUGAGGAGCGCGAAGUGGGUUCUCAGAAGCCCUAGAAGAGCUAAAGGUGAUUAGAGGGGGAUAUUGAUUCCUUACUCUGCCAGAGAUUUAAGCAGGCAUGCGAGGAAUCUGCACCAUGGUUGGCAAAAGGAGACCCAUCGCCUCCUGUAACCAGACACUCGGGCUUUCCAGGAGCCCAGGGAGAGAACCGAGAAGAAAGGGGGCAGUGUGGUCUAGGAAAAUUCAACUUGUCGCUGAUUUGUGCCUGACGCUUGCUGUCCGUCAGCAGCCUCCCUUACAAUCUUUUUUUCCUCUCUCUCCCUUUUUUUCUUGCCUUCUCCUUCUUCACUGAAGCCUAGGGGAGCCAGUAAAGAUUAAAUGUGCUUUCUCAAAGGCAGGCACUUCAUGCUGCUAUGUCGAAAGGGCCAUUAUUAUUAUGUUUUUAACAGUAAAAGAAAAAGGGAGAGAGGUUGAGAGAGAGAGAGAGAGAGAGAGAGAGAGAGAGAGAGAGAAGCUAGGUAGGAUGAUGACGGACUAGCUUUUCUGAGAGGAAAAGGAAAAGGGAAGGGAGAGAAAAAGGAGAGACCCUGAACUGAACAGAGGAUUGUGCCUGCGAAGAACCUACAGAGUGCCUUCCCUUGCAGGGGCUGCUUUGUCAUUCUCUUUGACUAGCCAUCCAUCCACCUUGCUCAGGCUGGAAUAAAAGAAGAAAAAGAAGGAGGAAAGGAAAGGAAACAGAAGGAAAGAAAAAAAGGGCAAGAAAAAAUUUUUAAAGAGUCAUCUUCCCACCCACUUCCCCUCCCUUUCGUUUCAUUUUUGGAGGCGGCACUAGGAGCCAUCUCCGCAGAGGAAAGCCCAGCUUCCAGGCAGACGCGGGGAAGCGACGAUCUAUCAGGUACAGAGCCCGUAGCUGUCUGCGAAGAUGGAGGGGAAUUGUGCUUCGGAUUCCUCCGAAAUAUUGGCAAACGGCUUCAAAGGAUCCGCGGCGGGAGUGGGGCGGGGGAGAUGCGCCUCCCCGGCUCGCGCCCACCCCUUCCCACUCGCCUCGACCAAGUGACAGCCUGGUGCUGGCUCGGGGUGAUUUGGCCUUGGCUCCAGCCAAGCAGCUGAUGUACAGGAGGCCCUUCGCAGGACUGGCAAAGUGCACGCUAAAGAAAGAAGGAGGAAAUUUUGAAAAGCAGCCCUGGGGAGGGUUCUCAUUCUUCGAAAAACAUUUUUUUUUUUAAUUUUUAACCUAAUAUUCUCAAAAUUUGAUCAGCCCCGUUCCCUCCCUCCACUCCCACCGAAUCGCCCUUUUUAACCCCCUCUCUCGUCAAAGCAUAAACUACAGAGUUACAGUCUCUAGAUUUGGUGUAUCGCUUCCUGCCCCCGCCUCCCCCUCCCUGCCCAGCUCUCAGUCCUCUAUUGAAACACCUCGCCCAGGCAAGCGCCCUGCAGCUCACGUUUCCCCCCCUGGCCCGGACGGUGCUACUGGAGGCUGCAGCCCGACUCCACUUCCAAUGGUAAGUUGCCUGUUGGAUAAACCUGAAGUUAUUCUUACGGAGCGCACUCUCCCAGAGCGAGGAUCGUGGUGCUCUCACACACUCUCAAGCAAUCCUGUUGCUUGACUGAUUCCUGAACAAGAUGAACAAUGAGCAAGCUCCGUUUUUCUGUCGUGUUGAUGUCCUUUCAGCUGGUCCUAUAGUCCCCCCUCCUCAGGAAUGUCUCCCCAGUGAAAGGACACAGACCACAGAGACUGCUGUCCUGAUGGACGCUCAAGCCGACUGUGAAGUUGAAACAAAGAAAGCGAUCACCUGAAGACACCUCUCCUGCCAAGUGACACACCCACAUGCUGCACCUUCAGCCAAUAGAAUCUCAGAACAAGAACAAGGCAAGCUUUUCAAGAAACAGAAGCACUUAAGAAUGACGUCUAGAUUUCGAAGGAGCCAAGGACUUUUCCCUUCGUCAUGUGUAUUCCUGUUUGUAUUUAAAUUCUGUGUGACAUUCAUUUUUAAAAAACUUUUUUUCUAGUA